rnacentral:snRNA from 1 species
AGUUCAAACUAUAAUCAAGUGAAU